ACAGUACCUGCAACAAAGCUCACUAGUCCCUUUCCAUGGAAGCCUCGCGACCUCGUCGUACAUCGCAAUAACUCACUGUCAACCGAUAGCAGCACCUACUCCCCUUUACUCAUGCCCCGGCUACGGGAACCGACCUCCAUUCCUGCCAGCAACAUGCGUGUAGGAGCUUGCAAGUUGUCCGCCACCGCCUUCUCAGCUUUUGAUGCACCAUCGACACAUCUCGUCGUGCAAGUGGACCUUUCCCCAAGGAGACGCCACGCUGCCGAACUCGGACACGUCGCUGCCGAACUUGAGAGGACGCCACGAGCAGAGAGAGAGAGCAGCAGCUCGACGACGCCCUCAUGCACGUCCGUCCAGCCAGGCUGCCCUCCGCAAUCCACGCUUGAGCCGUGCCCCACUGCAGGUCGAAUCGUCCUGCCAGCCUUGGAACUCCUCGACGUCGCUGUGCCAUCGUUGCAGCGCACAAUUCGCCGGCCGAGAUUUUUCUCGCCACGAACCGCCUUUGGCCGCCUGUAAAUUGAGCCGGGUGCUGCACCGUGACGCCUCACACCAUCCACAGCUCGUCGCCGUACACACUAGCCACAGACCAAGUCCUUCUUCUUCCUCUAGCCGAAGAACAGAGCACCGUCGAUCUCCUUCCUCAGCUCGAUUGAGCCGCAGAAUCGAUUCCGGAGGAGAGUCCGGAGGAACCAGGAGACCAGGAAGACGCCGCCGCCGCCGGGUACGUAAGCGAAGGAAAGUCUCAUCGAUCCCUUACUUUGACCAUAAUUGAUCCUAAGUAAGGUUAAAUAUAAAACAAAAAUUACUAGACUUAGGGAUUGCAUGAGAUGAAGCACUGAGAGACUGAGAGAAACCAUUGACUGAAGCCAUGUUGCAUAUUGAUUUACUGUCAGACUUGCAUAUGUUAAUUGAUGAAACUAGGAUGGGAAUGAGACCAAGGCAGAAUGGAAUGUGAUGGUGCAUGCGCUACCGUGGUGGUAGACUUGCGACCGAGCUCUGUCGUGGUGACAUCUCGGGUUUGGUUGGUUAUGGUUGUUGGCUGCUCUGAUGAGCCUUAAGGACCGAGUGUUGUGGUGCCAUCUCACCUAACCUACCUUCAGUACAACCACAUGAGCUUGUAUGGGUAAGCCUUAGUCUAAUCCCAAUGGCUAACCUAGUAGUCGUCCGAGGUGGAUAUGUUUUGCUGUGAGACCUGGAUUGGUCCAAACCCGGGGGUUCGUGAGCGACUAGUCGGGGUUGAGCCACGGCUGGGUGUCAGCUAUGACGGAGCCGUCUCUGGACGGUGAAGUGCAUGUGGGUAAAGCGUACAACCUCUGCAGAGUGUACAAUCCAUUAGAAUGGUCCGUGUCCUCGGUUUGGACAGGUUACGGUGUGGACAUCUCAACUAGUUGAGCCACCUAACUUAUGAGAUGGAUGACUGUUUGGGUUACCUUUAAUACUACAUUUGUUAUAUAGUCUGGUUGAUUAAUGGACCUUUGAAUAUUAAUCUGUAACUCCCUCCCCGCAAGGGUGAGGUGGGACUUACUGAGUACUUUCGUACUCAACCCUUGUUGAUUUUUUUUCCAGAGGAUCCUGACUUUGUGCCUGAAGAUUACGAGUACAUCGUGUCCGCACCCAAGCUGAUCGAGUGGAGCCGUGAUGGACGAAGAGCUAGUCUUGCAUGUCAUUGUGCUAAUCGUUAUCCUAUGGUUAUUUGCGGUAGCUUGGUGUUGUCACUUUAUCCCUCGUGUACGUGUUGAAUAAAGCUCUAUAUGACUUUGGACUC